GUUACAUCGGGAAUCGAGUCGCGAUUGGUUAGGAACGUUGCGAAGUUCCACUGUGAGAAAGAGAAAAGAAGAGAAAGAUAGAGAACAAGGAGAGACAGCAGCGCCACGUUUCUCUAUUAAACAAGGAACGUCAACCGUUCCUCGUUCUUCGGUCCCUUCGUCCGAUUUAGCUGUUCGCCAUCCAAAAUAUCCAGGCUGGCACGGUCGAGUCGUAUAUGUAUGCGUACGUACAAGUGCCUCCCUCGGCUCUGCCAGUUAUAUGUGUAGUGUCGUGUAGAGACGGCCAUAUUGCGUGUACGUAGCCACUGGCGAGUGGCACGUGUAUGCAUGUGUGAGGUAUAUACACACACGCGUGUGCGUUUCCCGUUCCGCGAUUCGCGUUCGCGUAUCCCGAAAAAGAUGGCCGCCAUGAAAGCGUACGGUGGUGAUGUUGACGUCGUUCGCAGCAAGGCCGCGUCACGUCCUCGAGAAGCGUGAAAAGAACGCGAUCGCUCGAAUGCUUCCGCGACCCUCGUGGUGCGCUCCUACGAGAAAACGAUACGGCGAGGAAGUUGUCGGUGUUUCGAAAACGCGAACACGGUGUUCACUGGAUCCCUCCUCUCGCUGUAUUCGACGAAAACGACGAGGUACGGUAGAGAGGCGAAAGAAAAGAGGGAGAACGAGCAAGGAACGUGUAACCAAGCGAGGGGUUGAAGGGAAUCGUGCACGAUAAAGACGGGAACGGACAAGAAACGAAGGUACAGAAAACGGAGAGAAGAAGAAGGCUGGAAAGUUCGCGUGGAAAAUAUACAACAGGGUGAUUACGGGAAGCGAGUAGCUGCACGUAGAAUCGCGGGUGGUGUGUGUUUGGUGUCGCGAGUGAAACAAAUGCGUGCGCGUCGUACGCGAACAAGCCUCUCUCUUGCCGACGAUAUCCUGGUCAACCUGUUUUACGCGUUUCCACGGCGUUGCGUUUCACGCGUGACUCCAAACUCUGUGUCAACGAGGGACGGCCAUAUUAAUCCGUAGCCCCCGCCGUCACACUUAUUCCGAAGAAUCUUGCUUCCUCGAGGUGGUGCCUCUACGAUUUUACGAUCAUCGUCACACGUAGAUUUGUGCGUACCCCGUGAGUUCCCGUGGUUGUAACGUGCUCUGUGUCGUGCCUUGCCUCGCCUCGUCAUAUAUCGUGUCGUGUCGUGUCGUGUCGUGUCGUGCCGUGCCGUGCCGUGCCGUGCCGUGCCGUGCCGUGUGUCGUGAUUCUCGACCACUUGGAUAUACGCGCUACGUAGCCUCCAGGUCUCGCCGGAUGACGGUGCGUGUACGUGGUGUGUGGACGGCGGUACUAGUGCGUACGAGCAACAUAAACCACGGCCACUACGCUAGUUCUGUGCCGCCCGAUGUUUCUGCAUCCCACCGAAACUUGCCGGUCCUCCACCACCGUGUCUACCCACUUUGUCAGCAGUAUCAUCCUUCCUAGAUCCUCUACUACCUACAGAUUGACGCUACUACGGCUAUGGCACGAGGCUAGAGGAGUUUGCUCAGCACCGGAAGGGAAGUAGCAGCCCGCGAGCCACCAAUUCACCAUCUACGCUCUGUAAGAUCCAAGAACUGUAUUCCAAGGAUUAAAUAUUGUAAGAAGAAAGGCGUGAACGUAGCGUGAAGAUGGUUGAUGACCACGACGUGCAUCGACGCUCAAAAGUGAUGACACCGGUGCAGCAAACACUGGCGUUCGGUUGGUAGUGGUCAAAGCUGUCCGCCGCUCCUCGGGCCAGCCAGGCGAGCAAGAAGAGGAACGAGAAGAGCCUACGGUAUCGGAAGGGAAAUCCAACGGCAGGGGGGGAGAGGAAAGAUCGUCCGUAUCCUAUCGAGAAAGAGGUCAGCCUGGAGAGAAGAAGAAAAGAAAGGACGAAGGGGAAGAGAAGAAACGUCGAUCGAGCGGAAGAGAGACGACGGGUUAGCAAGGAUAGGCAGUUGGCGGGAAGGGGAAGGGGAAGG